CUUGGUCAUUUAGAGGAAGUAAAAGUCGUAACAAGGUUUCCGUAGUGAACCUGCGGAAGGAUCAUUAUCGUAAAACGGGGGCACUGAAGGCUGUCGCUGACCUCUCGAGGGUCGUGCACGCCAGAWGUGCCCUCGCACACAAUCCACCUCACCCCUUGUGCAUCACCGCGUGGGGGCUCCUUUUGGCUCGUACCAAAGGGGUGCUCACGUUUUAACACAGACACCCAUUAGAAUUCAGUGUAGAAUGUCUUUAUGCGAUAACACGCGAUUAAUACAACUUUCAACAACGGAUCUCUUGGCUCUCGCAUCGAUGAAGAACGCAGCGAAAUGCGAUACGUAAUGUGAAUUGCAGAAUUCAGUGAAUCAUCGAAUCUUUGAACGCACCUUGCGCCCCUUGGCAUUCCGAGGGGCACACCCGUUUGAGUGUCGUGACAUCCUCAACCUUCUUGGUCUUUUUUUUUGAUCAGGAAGGCUUGGAAUUUGGAGGUUCUUGCUGGCUUCCCCUUUGAAGCCAGCUCCUCUUAAACGAAUUAGUGGGGUCCACUUCUGCCGAUCCUUGACAUGAUAAGAUGUUUCUGUGUCUUGGUAUAGAGCAAAGAAAACCUGCUUCUAACCGUCUCUUAGGAGACAUCGUUUUGACCCUUGACCUCAAAUCGGGUGAGACUACCCGCUGAACUUAAGCAUAUCAAUAAGCGGAGGA
rnacentral:misc_RNA from 1 species